rnacentral:lncRNA from 1 species
UGAAAUAAUUUUUCUUAAAGUUGUAUAUGCAAAACUUACUAACUUAACAUUAUGGUUUACAUGCACCAACCAAUUAACAAAAUCCCCUUGAGAAUGAAGGUAGACGGCAUAGUCGCAUAAAGAAUACAUAGGAGAGAUUGUAGAGCAAGGCUUCAGUAGAUGGUUGUAGGGAUCAGGGGAGGGGGGUUGAAUUAGGACCAUCUAAAUUAAUGUGCUAAGUUUAUCCAAUGUCAUCCUAGCAACACACACAAGAAUUCUAGGAAACAAACGUAAGAGUAUCACUGUAAGAAAGUAAUUGCGGAAACAUAAAUGCUGAGAGUAAAUGAAUGAAGUAACAGGAUGAUCAAGAGAGCGUGUACAAGAGAUUAUUUGGCCAUGGUGUUGGUGGAUUGAAUUCCACUCCUGGUCCAUGUUGAAGAAUAUAUAUCCAUAAAGGAUUAAGCUCCCGGUUAGCAACUUGGUAAAGACUCUUGAUCCCACCACACACAUAAGGUGGGUUUCAAGCUUGUGGCGCAAAGAUGGACAUCGCACUGAUCACUCGCUAUCUUGUGUUAAUUGCAUUGGAUCUUCACCAUUAGCACUUGGGUGGCUUGGAUGUCUUUGAAAGUCUACGUUGAAGUUAAUUUUUUGCGCACCACACAUGGGAAACACUCCAACGUGUACACCCUUCCGUCGUAUCAUCUGGCUUGAACAAAAAUCACUAGGUCAUAGGCUCUUUUGUGUACGAAAAUCACCGGGCACAAACACAACGUGAACAAAGAUAUGAAACUUGUCCAAUUCGACCAUCUCUUCACUCCGGCUCUGGUGGCUUUUCUCACUUGCAUCCAUAUGAGACCUAAUCUUUUACAAAUAUAAUUAUUACUCCAUCUUGUUAUUGAUAACCAAAAUCUCGUAAACCAUCUUGUUAUUGAUAACCAAAAUCACAUAUGCCCUGAUUAAGCCCAUGUUUCUUUUUCUUAAAAAAAAAAGAGGUCCAUGUUUCCUACAAACGGUCACAAAGAUGAUUCAUUAGUUGCACCUAAAUUAGUGUUAACUUGUAGAUAAAAGAAAGUUGUUUGUAACGAGGAUUACAUGCCAUCUAUAAGCACUGGUAAGUAUUCUUUUCUCGAGCUCAGAUAUUCACACUAGCUAAAUGCAUCCUUUUAUUAUAAAUUUGGUAGUUCCAUAUACCAUUAAUCAAUGAUGCUCGUGCAGUGACAGAUUAACAAUCAUAGCAUUUUGGACGCGCAUCACAUCAUAUUGUCUUGUCAUGUCACACUAACCCGUUUCUGUUGCAUGAUGCGUGAUCCCAUGACCCAUGCACCUCACCAGGGGCCCAGAAAGAAAGGACGUGUCCAGAAGCAUACACCCUACACAUCUAAUCCCUUUGAACAUGUUUUCCCUCCACUACUACUCCAUUUAUUUCGUGUACUGUAUGCAAAUCGAUGGUUGCAAUGAUACUGUUUCCUGUUCCUUUCAGUAUACAAAUAAAAUUUCUUCCACUUUUUUUUUCGUAAUUCUUUCGCUGAAUUAUUACUCCGAACUUCUAGAGCAUAAACCCAAUAUUUGUUUUCCGUCUAAUUCAGAAAACCAAUGUCCU